CCUACGGGAGGCAGCAGUGAGGAAUAUUGGUCAAUGGGCGGAAGCCUGAACCAGCCAAGUCGCGUGAGGGACUAAGGCCCUACGGGUCGUAAACCUCUUUUGCCGGGGAUCAGUGCCCAGCUCGCGAGCUGGGAGGGAGCGUACCCGGAGAAAAAGCCCCGGCUAACUACGUGCCAGCAGCCGCGGUAAUACGUAGGGGGCAAGCGUUAUCCGGAUUUACUGGGUGUAAAGGGAGCGUAGACGGCAGCAUAAGUCUGGAGUGAAAUGCCGGGGCUUAACCCCGGAACUGCUUUGGAAACUGUGCAGCUAGAGUGCAGGAGAGGUAAGUGGAAUGCCUAGUGUAGCGGUGAAAUGCGUAGAUAGUAGGAGGAACACCAGUGGCGAAGGCGGCUUACUGGACUGUAACUGACGUUGAGGCUCGAAAGCGUGUGGAGCAAACAGGAUUAGAUACCCGAGUAGUC
rnacentral:rRNA from 1 species